GCCACUGCCAGCCCCUAGCCAGUAGAUGGCUGCUGCCCGCGGUGGCCAAUGGUUACCAGCGGUGUCUUGGUUAAAUCAAUCAGCAGCCAGCGUAGUUCUUCCUCCUCCCUUUGUUCCUUAGCGCAGAAGCAUCUCCUAGCGUCUUCCUCCUCUCUGGUUCAGCGCAGGAGCAGGGCCACCAUGGGCGCUCGACCCCUCCCCCCUUGGCUUCACCUCCCUCGACGGCGCCCUUCUUCCCCAAGAGCAGGGAGCAGCCGCUCCCAUCUCCCAGCAGCUCGACCCUACGAGCUCCCCUCUCUCUGCAACCACCAGCUCCAAGUCGGCCAUGGGAUCUUCGUCUUCCGAAGCGCCCAGCCUCCCCAACUCGACACACUUUCGCCUCUGGCCAUGCCCCCUGCACAGCGUCAUACUCCCCCAUUAGCUCAGCCCCCCCUUUCUUGCACCUCUAGCAGCAAGGGCCUCCAUGGCCAUGGCUACUCCUCUCAGUGCCCUGCGCACCUUGAGUGUGGCCAUGGCCGACCUCCACUCUCCCUUGGUCGGCGCAGGGCCCCCUCUGGUCUGAGCUCGCGCCGGUGAACACCCCCCCCCCAUGGUGUGGUCUUUUCCCCGUCCAUGGUCACUAGUUCCCUACGCCCUCCUCUACCGACUCCUCCCUCUGUUCAUCUCUGUUUUGGGCACCGUCCAGCGCCCCCUCCGCCCACUGCAUCGCCGACAGGCUCACCCUCAAGCCAAUGCUAGCCUCAUCUUUCUCCAUGGCGCCCUUCCUUGCGCACAACAGUGAACCCUCCUCGCUGUUCUCCGUGGUGCCCAUCGGCUGUUCGACAAAAUGCCCGGGUGAGCAUUGUGUCGUGGACAGCGCCAUGGUGGUGCCCUAUGUCCUCGCUACUCGCUGCACAGCCUCGUCUUGCGCUCGCCUACUCUCCAAGCAGCAGCAGUAGCAGCGCUCCUCACGCUCGACCUCGGCAAGGACGAGCAGCCCCAUCCACGACACCAAAAUUCUUUGCCCCUUGUCGUCGUCGCGCUUCGUCCGUUGUUUCUCGACAGAAAGCCAAACCGACAUGCAUGCAUGCACAACUCCACUCGGGUUUCGGCCAGGAUCGAGAGAUGGUGAUCGUGCGGGAUAAAGGACAUGGAGUAGAGCUGACUCCAAGACGGUGUUGGCAGACGCCUUGAAUAUGGACAGACAGAACAAAGGCCAGGAUAGGAGAUGCUCGCCAAGCGAGUAUCCCCCAGCAAACACUAUCUAGUGUUGAAUUCCAUGCAAGCCCCGGUUUUAUGCAUAACCGUUAUAUAUAUGCUAUUUUACUACACUUAAUGUUUGUAGGCUUGUACCGUGCACUUAAGUGUAGGAGUUGCUUGAAACCCUAGUUGCAUGAACUCAGGAUUCCUUUUGAGAUGGAUACUAAUAUGCUAUGUCGAGUAGCUGCUAUGCUAAAUCAGGAUCUCGGUAGAAGUCGAGUGAUUUUUUAGCACUCGCGCGAGGUCAAGAAUUGGUUGUAUCCAUUUUGAUAACAGAAUGAUGAUGGUCUGUGGACACGGAUCCAUGGGGAUGCGUUGUCUAUGAGACGAAAUUGGAAUAAGGAUUAACGU